rnacentral:rRNA from 1 species
CCCUUAGAUGCUCUGGGCCGCACGCGCGCUACACUGGUCGAUGCAACGAGUUUCUUUCCUUGGCCGACAGGCCUGGGCAAUCUUUGAACAUCGAUCGUGAUCGGGAUAGAUUCUUGUAAUUUUUGAUCUUAAACGAGGAAUUCCUAGUAAACGCAAGUCAUCAGCUUGCAUUGAUUACGUCCCUGCCCUUUGUACACACCGCCCGUCGCACCUACCGAUUGAACGGUCCGGUGAAAUCUUGGGAUUUGCUUUGCUUUCGUUUAUUCGAUGCUCGGCGAAGAACUUGAGUAAACCUUACCGUUUAGAGGAAGGUGAAGUCGUAACA